rnacentral:rRNA from 1 species
UACGUAGGUGGCUAGCGUUGUCCGGAUUUACUGGGCGUAAAGCGCGCGCAGGCGGUCGUUCAAGUCGAGUGUGAAAGCCCCCGGCUCAACUGGGGAGGGUCACUCGAUACUGAUCGACUUGAAGGCAGAAGAGGGAAGCGGAAUUCCCGGUGUAGAGGUGAAAUUCGUAGAUAUCGGGAGGAACACCAGUGGCGAAGGCGGCGAUCUGGGCUGAUACUGACGCUGAGGUGCGAAAGCGUGGGGAGCAAACAGG